UACAGAGGUCCCGAGCGUUGUUCGGAUUCACUGGGCGUAAAGGGUGCGUAGGUGGUGAGGCAAGUCGGAUGUGAAAUAUCGGAGCUUAACUCCGAAACGGCAUUGGAAACUGCCUUGCUCGAGGUUUGGAGGGGGGACUGGAAUGCUUGGUGUAGCAGUGAAAUGCGUAGAUAUCAAGCGGAACACCAGUGGCGAAGGCGAGUCCCUGGACAACACCUGACACUGAGGCACGAAAGCUAGGGGAGCAAACAGG
rnacentral:rRNA from 1 species